rnacentral:rRNA from 1 species
UAGCCGCUCUGCGAGGAUGAACGUCCUCAUUGGGAUUGGGACUCGGCCCAGCCUCCUACGGGAGGCACCAGUGGGGAAUUUUUCGCAAUGGCAGCAAGCCUGGCGGAGCAACACCGCGUGAACGCUGAAGGUCUUAGGAUCGUAAAGUUCUGUUGUUAGUUACGAAGGGUAAGAAUAAUAAUACGGUUUUUAUUUGACGGUACCUAACGAGGAAGCCACGGCUAACUACGUGCCAGCAGCCGCGGUAAUACGUAGGCGGCAAGCGUUGUCCGGAAUUAUUGGGUGUAAAGGGAGCGCAGGCGGCAAACUAAGCGGAUCUUAAAAGUGCGGGGCUCAACCCCGUGAUGGGGUCCGAACUGGUUUUCUUGAGUGCAGGCGAGGAAAGCGGAAUUCCCAGUGUAGCGGUGAAAUGCGUAGAUAUUGGGAAGAACCCCCGUGGGGAAGGCGGCUUUCUGGACCGUCACUGACGCUGAGGCUUGAAAGCCAGGGUAGCCAACCAGAUUAGAUACCCCGGUAGUCCUAGCCGUAAACGACCGAUACUAUGUGUGGGAGAUAUCCACCCCUUCCGCCCCGGAGUUAACCCAAUAAGUCUCCCACUUUGGGAGUACGGCCGCAAGGUUGCAACUCAAAGGAAUAGACGGGGGCCCGCACAAGCGCGUGGAGCAUGUGGUUUAAUUGGACGCAACGCGAAGAACCUUACCACAGACUUGACAUCGAUUGAUAGACCUCGAGAUAGGUCCAUUCUCUUCGGCGAACAAGAAAACAGGUCGUGCAUGGCUGUCGUCAGCUCGUGUCGUGUGAUGAUGGGUUAAGUCCCGCAACGAGCGCAACCCCUCCACUAUGUUCCCAGCAUUACGGAGGGGAAUUCAUAGUAGACUGCCGCGGCCAACGCGGAGGAAGGCGGGGAGGACGUCAAGUCUUCAUGCCCCUUACGUCUUGGGCUCCACACGUACUCCAAUGGGAUGAACAGAGGGAAGCGAAAUCGCGAGGUGGAGCGGAUCCCUAAAAGCAUCUCUCAGUUCGGAUUGCAGGCUGAAACUCGCCUACAUGAAGUCGGAAUCGCUAGUAAUCGCAGGUCAGCAUACUGCGGUGAAUACGUUCCCGGGCCUUGCACACACCGCCCGUCA